rnacentral:rRNA from 1 species
AUUGAACGCUGGCGGCAUGCUUUACACAUGCAAGUCGAACGGUAACAGGGUGCUUGCACCGCUGACGAGUGGCGAACGGGUGAGUAAUACAUCGGAAUGUACCCAGUAAUGGGGAUAACGCUUCGAAAGGAGUGCUAAUACCGCAUACGCCCUGAGGGGGAAAGUGGGGGACCGCAAGGCCUCACGUUAUUGGAGCAGCCGAUGGCUGAUUAGCUAGUUGGUGAGGUAAAGGCUCACCAAGGCGACGAUCGAGUAGCGGGUCUUAGAGGACGAUCCGCCACACUGGAACUGAGACACGGUCCAGACUCCUACGGGAGGCAGCAGUGGGGAAUCUUGGACAAUGGGCGAAAGCCUGAUCCAGCAAUGCCGCGUGCGUGAAGAAGGCCUCGGUUGGUAAG